UACGGGGGGAGCAAGCGUUGUUCGGAUUUACUGGGCGUAAAGGGCGCGUAGGCGGGUCAGCAAGUCCGGGGUGAAAUCUUUCGGCUCAACCGGAAAAGUGCCUUGGAUACUGCUGGUCUUGAGGGAGGUAGGGGUUUGUGGAACUUCUGGUGGAGCGGUGAAAUGCGUUGAUAUCAGAAGGAACGCCGGUGGCGAAAGCGACGAACUGGACCUCUUCUGACGCUGAGGCGCGAAAGCUAGGGGAGCAAACGGG
rnacentral:rRNA from 1 species